GCUCCGCCCACAACCCAGUCUGUUUUUUCAUAAUAAAAGCCGACGUGGAACUUGCAGUAAAACAUCAGAAACACGAGUUUCGAGUGCUUUGAUGCUACGAAAGCUUCGUGACAGCUGUCUUCAACCCUUCGCACUCUAGACGCACAUGGUUCAGGUGUUCUAGCAGUUCCUGCCGCUCAGAGCUCCAGCUGCUUUCACGGACCUUCAGCUGUCUUGUCAGGUCCAUCACUGCAGUGUAGGACUCUGCUAACAGGUGCUGAAGCUUCUCAAUGUGGUCCUUCUGCAAAGCCGCAUUCAGUCCCUACAGACGCAAGAAUGAAGAAAGAAGAGGAGACGACAUGAGAGGCAGACAACAGGUUCAUUGAUACUCUCUGAAGGGAAUUUAAAUUGAUCUUCUAGUUCGCACCC